UUUUUAAAUUAAUAAAAAUGGUUUUUCAUUGUUUAAAGAACAACAAAAUCAAGCUCAAUAAACUGCUUAAUAAGUUACAUUGGUCAGAACACAAUUUGCACGUUCACCAACAAACAAAAAAUACAUAAAACAUUGAAAGCCAUAAUAUAACAUAUGAAAUGUGACAAUGUUUAAAAUUGAGUGUGGAACACUAGAAGCAUCAAGAAGUCUUC
rnacentral:lncRNA from 1 species